ACAAACUUGGUCAUUUAGAGGAAGUAAAAGUCGUAACAAGGUUUCCGUAGGUGAACCUGCGGAAGGAUCAUUAUCGAGUUUUUGAAGCGAGGCUUGCUGCUGGUGCGGAAACGCACAUGUGCACGGCUUUCGCGCUCAAAUCCACUCAACCCCUGUGCACCUUUAUCCUGUCGAAGCGAGUAGUUUGAGACCUUGGGGGGACUUAGUAAGUCAGUAGAAGGGGAGGGUAACAGCUCCAUUCGAAAAGUGAAAAGACCCCCCUUAGCUCGAGCGAAAACUUUGACUUGUAUUUCACAAACCACAUUUAUUGUCCUGUGAAUGUAAUGCUCCUUGUGGGCGAAAAUAAAUACAACUUUCAACAACGGAUCUCUUGGCUCUCGCAUCGAUGAAGAACGCAGC
rnacentral:misc_RNA from 1 species